AAGUGAACUUCUUUUUAUUUACCGAGGUAAGCAUGAGAUGCGUGAGCAAGAGCCAUUCUCAACCUCAAAUUUUUGUCAUGCGGAAGUAAAUGUGUUAUACCUUUCCUCUAGAAAGUAAAUAUUUUAUAUCUUUCCUCUAGAAUUCCAAACUGAUUUUCCAUGUUCCAAAGCAUGGUAACAUUAGAAAAAUGAGGAGCCGAAUUUUGGCCUCCUGCACUGCGGUGUUGACGCCGCUGGCGAUUGUGAUAGCCUCCUUCUUCGGUCGUGCCUCCCACCUCCGCAAGCCCUUGAUUCAAGCACCUGCGGGGUGCCGAAGCAGAGUCCUGCCCUGCAUUACAGCACCACAGCUUGGCAACAGCCCCCACCUCCGCAAGCUCUUGAUUAAAGCCAAGCUCUCCCAUAGAAUCUGUGGUGUUCACUCCAACCGCCUCGUUGAUACCGUCGUCCUGAUCAAGCUAGGGGCGAAGCUGCCUCUACUCGUCAGGGCUCUGUGGUGUUCACUCCAACCGCCUCG
rnacentral:lncRNA from 1 species